CGGGGGUGCGAGCGUUGUCCGGAAUCACUGGGCGUAAAGGACGCGUAGGUGGUCUGAUAAGGGUGUGGUGAAAGCCCGGGGCUCAACCCCGGGUCGGCCGUGCCGACUGUUAGACUAGAGUGCUGUAGGGGCAGGCGGAAUUCCGGGUGUAGCGGUGGAAUGCGUAGAGAUCCGGAGGAAGACCGGUGGCGAAGGCGGCCUGCUGGGCAGAUACUGACACUGAGGCGCGACAGCGUGGGGAGCAAACAGGAUUAGAUACCCUGGUAGUCCACGCCGUAAACGAUGGGUACUAGGUGCCUGGGGGAGCGACCCCUUGGGUGCCGGCGCUAACGCAGGAAGUACCCCGCCUGGGGAGUACGACCGCAAGGUUG
rnacentral:rRNA from 1 species